ACUAGAUCUAGCUAAAGAAAGUAGAGCCGGCAAAUACGGUGCCAGCCGCCGCGGGUACACCCAAAGGCUCAAAUUGAUUUUUCCCGGCGUAAAGCGUGAUUAAAGUGCCAACAAACUAGAGUUUAACUCAAACUAAACAGUGAUAUGCUUGUUUAAAAGAACCCUAAAAACGAAAGUUACUCUACCCUAACAACUUGAAUCCACGAUAGCUGAGACAUAAACUGGGAUUAGGUACCCCACUAUACUCAACCUUAAACUUUAAAUUACUUUCCCCAUCGCCAAGGGAUUACGAGCAAAGCUUAAAACCUAAAGGACUUGACGGUACCCCACUUCCCCCUAGAGGAGCCUGUCCUACAACCGAUACCCCCCGUUCUACCUCACCGCUUAUAGCCUUUCAGCCUGUAUACUUCCGUCCUAGCUUACCAUGUGAAUGAACAGUAAGCCCCAACGCACUAUUUAUCUACCACAUCAGGUCAAGGUGCAGCAAAUAAAGCGGAAAGAGAUGGGCUACACUUUCUACACUAGAACACACGAAAAGUUAAUAUGCAACCCAACUAGAAGGUGGAUUUAGCAGUAAAAAGAAAUUAGAGUGUUCUUUUUAACUUGGUACUGGGGUGUGUACACACCGCCCGUCACCCUCUUCAAAAUACAACCAUAGUACUUAACAAAUUUACGCAAAAAGAAGAGGUAAGUCGUAACAUGGUAAGUGCACCGGA
rnacentral:rRNA from 1 species